rnacentral:rRNA from 1 species
ACACCUGUUCCCAUAUCGAACACAGCAGUAAAGUCCUUCAGCGCCGAUGGUACUGCAUGGGAGACCGUGUGGGAGAGUAGGACACUGCCGGAU